GGUGGACAUUGCCUAUGCUCCGUUCAUUGAAAGGUUUCAAAUCUUCUUUGAAGAUGCCUUGAAGUAUGACAUCACAUCAGGAAGACCAAAACUAGCAGCAUGGAUUGAAGAGUUGAACAAGAUUGACGCUUAUCCAUAGACAAAAUGUGAACCCAAAGUGCUUGUUGAAUUCUACAAGAAACGUUUUCUGGCUCAGCAGUGAACAUGCAGCAGCUGUUCAUAACUCAAAUAAGUGGCUUGAUGCCCUAUAAUCAAUAUCUCUAAUCUAAAACUCAAAUGUAUCCGCACGGGGAUGUGGAUUUAUGUUUUGUUUUUGUUUUUGUGUUUUUUUGUUUUUGUGUUUUGAGGUCAGGGUAUGUGGAAUUGCUAAUAAGAUCAAGAGUUGUCUAUGUUGUAAUGUGUUAAUGUGUAUUACAUCAUGCUCUUCGUUUUGGUUUGUUUUUUACAUGAUCAGAAUUUAGACCAUAUUUUCAGUU